GUUGAACGCUGGCGGCAGGCCUAACACAUGCAAGUCGAGCGGAUGAAGGGAGCUUGCUCCUGGAUUCAGCGGCGGACGGGUGAGUAAUGCCUAGGAAUCUGCCUGGUAGUGGGGGAUAACGUCCGGAAACGGGCGCUAAUACCGCAUACGUCCUGAGGGAGAAAGUGGGGGAUCUUCGGACCUCACGCUAUCAGAUGAGCCUAGGUCGGAUUAGCUAGUUGGUGGGGUAAAGGCCUACCAAGGCGACGAUCCGUAACUGGUCUGAGAGGAUGAUCAGUCACACUGGAACUGAGACACGGUCCAGACUCCUACGGGAGGCAGCAGUGGGGAAUAUUGGACAAUGGGCGAAAGCCUGAUCCAGCCAUGCCGCGUGUGUGAAGAAGGUCUUCGGAUUGUAAAGCACUUUAAGUGGGGAGGAAGGGCAGUAAGUUAAUACCUUGCUGUUUUGACGUUACCAACAGAAUAAGCACCGGCUAACUUCGUG
rnacentral:rRNA from 1 species